UCUUCAGGGAGGCCACAUGGAUCAUGGAGCCUCAGAAUGCUCCCUCUAGGAGGAUGGGGGAAGACUGUGUCUACCAGCUCCCCUCACCCACCACCACCUCCUGUGCCUGCCCCCCCAUCCUCCCCCACCAUACACAAACUUCUGGAGUGUGAACAUGGGUGGUGAGAGGUGUCCUAGGCUUCAGCACCAACAGAGCCAUACCAAGGCAGGAGUCACACACAGUACAAGUUUGAAGUUUGAGGAGAACACUGGUAGGUAUAUUGUAUCAGUUGGGUCUAUGAAGAAAAUAAUGCCACCGCCUGCAGUUACACUUCACAGGAGGACCUCACAGACUCCUUACAAGUUGCUUGAGAACUUCCUGUUCAGAGGCCUGACCUCAGCUUUCUGGAGCUUUUCAAGUUGGCUACUAUGAGAAGAAAAGAAAUCUGCAGAUCCAGGAGAAAAAGAGUCACAGAU